rnacentral:ncRNA from 1 species
AUUACGUAAGUAAGUAAGUAAGAUCCCUGAGAGAAGAUCAGGUAGAUAGGAUGGAAGUGGAAGUACAGUGAUGUAUGGAGCGGACCAUUACUAAUCGAUCGAGGACUUAACCGA